CAACGAGCUAGAGUUUGAUCCGUGGCUCGAGGACGAACGCUGGCGGCGUGCUUAACACAUGCAAGUCGAACGGGGAACAAACGCUUCGGUGUUUGUUUCUAGUGGCGGACGGGUGAGUAACGCGUGAACAAGCUGUCCUUCACAGGGGGAUAACACUGAGAAAUCAGUGCUAAUACCGCAUAAGACCACAGUACCGCAUGAUACGAGGGGUCAAAGGAGCGAUCCGGUGAAGGGGGCGUUCGCGUCCCAUUAGAUAGUUGGUGAGGUAACGGCCCACCAAGUCAGCGAUGGGUAGCCGAGCUGAGAGGCUGAUCGGCCACACUGGGACUGAGACACGGCCCAGACUCCUACGGGAGGCAGCAGGUGGGGAAUAUUGGGCAAGUGGGGGGAACCCUUACCCAGCAACGCCGCGUGAGAGAAGAAGGUUUUCGGAUUGUAAAUCUCUGUCCUUGGGGGCGAAGGAAGUGACGGUACCCAGGGAGGAAGCCCCGGCUAACUACGUGCC
rnacentral:rRNA from 1 species